AGUGGAUGGGGAGCAACCUAGUUGUGCGUGUGUAAAGGUAGUGCCAAGAAAAGCGAUGAUCAUGUUGAAAAUCAAUUCCCGGUACCCGAAACCGACACAGGUGGGCAAGUAGAGAAUACUAAGGGGCGCGAGGUAACUCUCUCCAAGGAACUCGGCAAAAUGACCCCGUAACUUAGGGAGAAGGGGUGCCACCGAGAGGUGGUCGCAGUGAAGAGGCCCAGGCGACUGUUUAGCAAAAACAUAGGUCUCUGCAAACUCGAAAGAGGAGGUAUAGGGGCUGACGCCUGCCCAGUGCCAGAAGGUUAAAGAAGUUGGUCAGUUUUAGGAUGAAGCUAGCGACUGAAGCCCCGGUGAACGGCGGCCGUAACUAUAACGGUCCUAAGGUAGCGAAAUUCCUUGUCGGGUAAGUUCCGACCCGCACGAAAGGCGUAACGAUCUGGGCGCUGUCUCGGAGAGAGGCUCGGCGAAAUAGGAUUGUCUGUGAAGAUACGGACUACCUGCAUUUGGACAGAAAGACCCUAUGAAGCUUUACUAUAGCUUGGAAUUGUGUUCGGGCUUCCUGUGCGCAGGAUAGGUGGGAGGCGUAGAAGGUAUUCUUGUGGGGAUACUGGAGCCAACGGUGAGAUACCACUCUCAGGAGGCUAGAAUUCUAACUUAAUUAAGGACAGUUUCAGGUGGGUAGUUUGACUGGGGCGGUCGCCUCCAAAAAGGUAACGGAGGCGUACAAAGGUUCCCUCAGACUGGUUGGAAAUCAGUCGAAGAGUGCAAAGGCAGAAGGGAGCUUGACUGCGAGAAGUACAGUUCGAGCAGGGUGGAAACACGGUCUUAGUGAUCCGACGGUGCUGUGUGGAAGGGCCGUCGUUCAACGGAUAAAAGUUACUCUAGGAUAACAGGCUGAUCUCCCCCAAGAGUUCACAUCGACGGGGAGGUUUGGCACCUCGAUGUCGGCUCAUCGCAACCUGGGGCGGAAGUACGUCCCAAGGGUUGGGCUGUUCGCCCAUUAAAGCGGUACGUGAGCUGGGUUCAGAACGUCGUGAGACAGUUCGGUCCAUAUCCGAUGUAGGCGUGAGAAUAUUGAGAGGAGCCUUCCUUAGUACGAGAGGACCGGGAAGGACGCACCGCUGGUGUACCUGUUAUGAUGCCAAUUGUAAACGCAGGGUAGCCAAGUGCGGAGAGGAUAACCGCUGAAAGCAUCUAAGUGGGAAGCCCACCUCAAGAUGAGUAUUCUGGUGUAAGGUCACGGGAAGACGACCCGUAAAUAGGCACGAGGUGGAAGUGCAGAGAUGUAUGAAGCCGAAGUGUACUAAUAGACCGUCGGCUUGA
rnacentral:rRNA from 1 species